UGGGGUAUAGCCAAGUUGGUAAGGCAUCGGAUUUUGAUUCCGACAUGCGCAGGUUCAAGUCCUGCUACCCCAUCCA
rnacentral:tRNA from 1 species